UGCAAGCGUUGAUCGGAAUUACUGGGCGUAAAGCGUGCGCAGGCGGUUAUGCAAGGCAGAUGUGAAAUCCCCGGGCUCAACCUGGGAACUGCAUUUGUGACUGCAUAGCUAGAGUACGGUAGAGGGGGAUGGAAUUCCGCGUGUAGCAGUGAAAUGCGUAGAUAUGCGGAGGAACACCGAUGGCGAAGGCAAUCCCCUGGACCUGUACUGACGCUCAUGCACGAAAGCGUGGGGAGCAAACAGG
rnacentral:rRNA from 1 species